AACUGUGGUUUGAUUGUUUACUUCCGGUUAAUUUCCGGGUUCGUUCUUUACAAACGGAGGGCGGUAAGAAUGGAAAGGUGGCUCCUUUCUCUCCUUGUGUUGUAUAUCUUCUUCGUCAUUGGUGAAGCAAACAUCAAGUGCUAUAGCUGUAAUUAUCCUGAUGAGAAAUGUGGAGACAUUUUUGCUUACACAAAUCCUUAUGCCAACCUGUGUUCGGGUAGCUGUGUAAAGCGUAGAGGGAAACGUUCUCAAGGCACCUAUGAGGUUUACAGGGGGUGCCAUUCACAGACCAAGACAUACUGCCAUGAUGCACAAUACAAUGGAAUGUCGGUUACAGAAUGCUUUUGUAAUGAAGACUAUUGUAACCAUGGUAACAAUGUGAGAAUAUCUGCAGGAAGUUUAAUCGUUGCAGCAAUUACAGUUUUCUGUAACCUUUUAUGAUGCCGUACACUUAAUACUUAAGGAAUUUAUGUGGAUUUGGAUUUUUUAUGAGAUGUUAGGUCACAGUUUCAUCAACAUUCCUUACCAAGGUAAUUUAAUAUUUUCCAUAGGAAAAGAUUAUUAUAAUUAUGAAAAAUUCUUAUUAAGGAACUUUCUUUAAAUUUUGUCAGUGUAGUUCAUUUCUAUGGAAAAUUCUAAGUUAAGAUAUUGCCUUUAGUUAAGAAAUAUUGAUGAAACUGGGGCCCAAUAUCUUACAUUUUCUGAUGUUUAAAAUUAAUAGCCGGGCAUAUUUUAAGCUGGUUAUUCUACUCAGUUUAUGUGUUAUUUGAUAAUAUAAUACGGAGCCACAAACCCAUUUAGAGGAAACAUCGUGGCAAUAAAAAAUUGAUGGUUGUAACAUUAUAUGUAGUUGUCUCCCUUGAUGGCUGUACCAUUAAUUCAUGUUGCUGUGUAUACCCGGUAAUUACAGACAUUUAUCAAGUUUCUUUUUGAGGAGUUGUAUAGUAUAUAUGUAAUGUUUGUCUUCGUUAACUCAUGAUGAUUUCGACUUAUUAGAUUAUUAAUGAACUUUAAUUAUUUAAGUAAAUGUCAUGUGUAAUUAAUAGUCCUGCUGGCUUCUUCGGUUUGUAUUCUCUCAAACGGGUUCAUUGUAUUUUACAUAAAACAGGGUUGUAAAUUCGCUCCAUAUCACCUCUUUCUUCCUUUCAUUAACCUCUCCUAGUGCUCCCGGGCGCUGUAUACACUACAUCAUGAAGGGUUCACUCGACAAAAUAUAAUUUUCACAUUCUGUGUAGAGAUCAAGAUAUUUUACUAUGUCUAGUUUUCAUUACAUAGUGAUGUUGUUUCAAUAUAAAUAUACCACUUUUUUGAUAGUAGAAAUUAGUCCCUAAUAGGAUUGUUUAUACACCACUGGGACCUGACCCCAGACAAUAUACUAUCCCUAAUAUUAAUGAUCAUAAACCAAUAUAAUAUAGACAGAAUAUACAUCUGACAAGAUAUAUGUUAGGUUUCUAAACAAAAAGUCAAACUUAAAAAGUUUUUUUUCAUCUAUGUAUGCUUUGUAUUGACUUAUAACCACACAAAGACAUGUUGGUUCAGAAAAGUGAUAAUAUUUUUGCAAGAUUUUGACAAGCUAUCAGCUAUCUUCAAAUUUGAAGUAAAUAAUUAUCAGUUGUUUUUCAUUUAUCGAAAACCAAGGAUUCUAGUCUUUUCCUCGAUACAGUAUGUCCCUGUUUUCUGUGACUGUGUAAAAGGUCAUAGGGUCACAUUGUCUUGUAAUUGGUUGUGAGUUGUAAUAUAUUUCUAUACACACACACAAAUAAUCCUUAUUAUGUAAGAUAGUUUGUUAGCUGUAUAUAAAGUGUAUAUUAUAUUGUAAAUUGUUUGCUUCCAUUAGAGUUCUGAUGUAUGACAUUAUUGCUUUCACUUCACUGGAACAGACAAGUUUAUGUGACGAUCUAUAUAAAAUUGUAUUGUUAUUGAUAUGGCAUAUGAUACAGGAGUGUUCUUACCUGUACUUGUUGGCCUUACAAACAAGAGGUACAAGUUAAACAGUCCCAGUGUAUUUACACGUAAUUCUAAAUAUCCAAUCAAGUAUUUCUCUGUAAAAUAAUUAUUUUGUUCCACAACCAGUGUUGAUUCAACAAAGGUUCAGUAUUGAGAUAUACUUUGCCUGUGACAAGUCCAAUUUAAUGCACAAGUAUCCUACUUUAUCUAUUAAAAUUGAACUUAAUGGGAUGCUGUUCAUUGAGUUAGGAUGCCAAAAUGUAGGUAGGGCAAUGAAAUAUAUAUUAAUACACAUGUAAUGUAAUUAAAAGGGUGUUUAUCAAUCCUUACUUGUGGUAGAAUCUAAUGUAAAAUUGCCAUGAAGAUAACCGCUGAAAUGUGCAUUUACAGUGAACUACCAAUCACAAAAAUGUUCCAAAUGAUGCCACAUAAUCUACGUGUAUGAUAAAACAUCAAAGUUCUGUGUGGUUGUGAUGUACCAGAAUAUUUACUGUAAUUUAACUUUUAAACAUUCCAUCGUUUGCUUGUAAUUAAUAACUUCUAAUGUCAGUGAUAUAAAUAAUUUGUAUUGAAAUACCUUACAAGAAUUGUCAAUGUUAUAAUGUUAAUAGUUCUGCACUGUCAUUAUCUUGUCCAGAGAUAUGGACUAAAUCAUGAAACAGGUAAUUUAUGACAUACUCGUUACUUCAUCAUUAUUAUAAUAAUCUUCUGUAGACACUUUUCUUUACCAUUAUAAGAGUUUUAUAGCUACAUGUGUAUCAGAGAAUCAUCAGAGACGGUAUCCGUUUGUUACAUAUCCACCCUUCACUUAUAGCUACAUGUGUAUUGGAGAAUCAUCAGAGACGUAUCCGUUUGUUACAUAUCCACCCUUCACUUAUAGCUACAUGUGUAUCGGAGAAUCAUCAGAGACGGUAUCCGUUUGUUACAUAUCCACCCUUCACUUAUAGCUACAUGUGUAUCGGAGAAUCACCAGAGACGGUAUCCGUUUGUUACAUAUCCACCCUUCACUUAUAGCUACAUGUGUAUUGGAGAAUCAUCAGAGACGGUAUCCGUUUGUUACAUAUCCACCCUUCACUUAUAGCUACAUGUGUAUCGGAGAAUCGUCAGAGACGGUAUCCGUUUGUUACAUAUCCACCCUUCACUUAUAGCUACAUGUGUAUCGGAGAAUCACCAGAGACGGUAUCUGUUUGUUACAUAUCCACCCUUCACUUAUAGCUACAUGUGUAUCGGAGAAUCAUCAGAGACGGUAUCCGUUUGUUACAUAUCCACCCUUCACUUAUAGCUACAUGUGUAUCGGAGAAUAAACAUGUGUAUCAGAGAAUCACCAGAGACGGUAUCCGUUUGUUACAUAUCCACCCUUCACUUAUAGCUACAUGUGUAUCGGAGAAUCGUCGGAGACGGUAUCCGUUUGUUACAUAUCCACCCUUCACUUAUAGCUACAUGUGUAUCGGAGAACCAUCGGAGACGGUAUCCGUUUGUUACAUAUCCACCCUUCACUCAGAAGGGGACAUUCCAGAUAUAAUGCAAUACAAUUCCUGCCCAGAUAUUUCAUCAAUUGUGUAAAUUACAUUGUUAACCUUUAGCAUGUUUUUUGUAUGUAAAGUGAAAAUUGGCUGGAAGUUAAUUAUGGCAAUGUUUAACAGGUAAUGUGCCUUAGUUUAGACACAAAUGUUUUAUUUGUAUGUUGUAUCUUAAUUUCUGUAAAUAUUGAGAUGAAUCUGUUAAGUAGGAAUUCAAAGGUGUUUACAACAAGCACAAAACAGUAAAAUUCAUCAAAUUGGAUUUUUUUUCUACUCAAGUGUGUCUCUAUCCAUGUGGAUAUGCCACAAAAUUGCCAACCCCAGUGUUGAUUGUAUUGUAUUUAUUCAUCAUUAUUGUUUUUAUACACUGUAUGAUAGGAUCAUACUGUUAACAAUGACACAUAUCAAUGUACGAUAGGAUCAUACUGUUAACAAUGACACAUAUCAAUGUACGAUCGGAUCAUACUGUUAACAAUGACACAUAUCAACGUACUAUGGGAUCAUACUGUUAACAAUGACACAUAUCAAUGUACGAUAGGAUCAUACUGUUAACAAUGACACAUAUCAAUGUAUGAUGGGAUCAUACUGUUAACAAUGACACAUAUCAAUGUACGAUAGGAUCAUACUGUUAACAUUGACACAUAUCAAUGUAUGAUGGGAUCAUACUGUUAACAAUGACACAUAUCAAUGUAUGAUGGGAUCAUACUGUUAACAAUGACACAUAUCAAUGUACGAUAGGAUCAUACUGUUAACAAUGACACAUAUCAAUGUAUGAUGGGAUCAUACUGUUAACAUUGACACAUAUCAAUGUAUGAUGGGAUCAUACUGUUAACAUUGACACAUAUCAAGCAUCCUUUAUGACCAAUAAAGAUUGUUGUAUUUUAA